CUACGGGGUGCUGCAGUAGGGAAUAUUGCGCAAUGGGCGCAAGCCUGACGCAGCGACGCCGCGUGCGGGACGAAGCUCCUCGGAGUGUAAACCGCUUUUCUGAGAGACGAACACUGACGGUACCUCAGGAAUAGGCACCGGCUAACUCCGUGCCAGCAGCUGCGGUAAUACGGAGGGUGCAAACGUUGUUCGGAUUUACUGGGCGUAAAGGGUCCGUAGGCGGCUCGGCAAAUCGGUUGUGGAAUCCCGGCGCUUACCGUCGGAAUGGCUGCCGAAAAUACCGGGCUUGAGGUUGUCAGGGGCGAGUGGAACUCCUGGUGGAGCGGUGAAAUGCGUAGAUAUCAGGAGGAACGCCGGAGGCGAAAGCGGCUCGCUGGGACAAUUCUGACGCUGAGGGACGAAAGCUAGGGGAGCAAACAGGAUUAGAUACCCCUGUAGUC
rnacentral:rRNA from 1 species